rnacentral:rRNA from 1 species
CCCGCACAAGCGGUGAGCAUGUGGUUUAAUUCGAUGCAACGCGAAGAACCUUACCUGGCCUUGACAUACUAGAAACUUUCCAGAGAUUGGAUUGGUGCCUUCGGGAAUCUAGAUACAGGUGCUGCACGGCUGUCGUCAGCUCGUGUCGUGAGAUGUUGGGUUAAGUCCCGCAACGAGCGCAACCCUUUUCCUUACUUGCCAGCAUUUCGGAUGGGAACUUUAAGGAUACUGCCAGUGACAAACUGGAGGAAGCGGGGACGACGUCAAGUCAUCAUGGCCCUUACGGCCAGGGCUACACACGUGCUACAAUGGUCGGUACAAAGGGUUGCUACACAGCGAUGUGAUGCUAAUCUCAAAAAGCCGAUCGUAGUCCGGAUUGGAGUCUGCAACUCGACUCCAUGAAGUCGGAAUCGCUAGUAAUCGCGGAUCAGAAUGCCGCGGUGAAUACGUUCCCGGGCCUU